rnacentral:rRNA from 1 species
UACGGAGGGUGCGAGCGUUGUCCGGAAUCACUGGGCGUAAAGGGCGCGUAGGCGGCCUGAUAAGUAGGGGGUGAAAUCCUGCGGCUUAAUCGCAGGGCUGCCUUCUAGACUGUCAGGCUAGAGCACAGUAGAGGCAGGUGGAAUUCCCGGUGUAGCGGUGGAAUGCGUAGAGAUCGGGAAGAACAUCAGUGGCGAAGGCGGCCUGCUGGGCUGUUGCUGACGCUGAGGCGCGACAGCGUGGGGAGCAAACAGG